rnacentral:rRNA from 1 species
GACGAACGCUGGCGGCGUGUCUAAAACAUGCAAGUCGAACGAGGUAGCAAUACCUAGUGGCGAACGGCGGAGUAAUACAUGAACAACGUGCCCUAAAGCCCGGGACAAACGCAGAAAUGCCAUAAAUACCGGAUGUGGUCCAGACCUGGCAUCAGGAUUGGAUUAAAUGGUUUUUUCGCUUUAGGAGCGGUUCAUGGCCUAUCAGGUAGUUGGUGGGGUAAUGGCCUACCAAGCCGACGACAGGAGCGGGUCUGAGAGGAUGAUCCGCUCGAGUGGGACUGAGACACGGCCCAGACUCCUACGGGAGGCAGCAGUGGGGAAUAUUGGACAAUGGGGGAAACCCUGAUCCAGCGACGCCGCGUGUGUGAAGAAGGCCUGCGGGUUGUAAAGCACUUUUAGUGGGGAUGAAAUGUGCAGGGUUAACACCUCUGCUAUUUUGACCUAACCCACAAGAAAAGCACCGGCUAACUCUGUGCCAGCA